rnacentral:rRNA from 1 species
UUUAAUGGAGAGUUUGAUCCUGGCUCAGGACGAACGCUGGCGGCGUGCCUAAUACAUGCAAGUCGAGCGAGGGUUUUCGAACCCUAGCGGCGGACGGGUGAGUAACACGUAGGCAACCUGCCUGUAAGACUGGGAUAACAUAGGGAAACUUAUGCUAAUA